AGCAUUUAUUAAGAGGACCUGCAAGAAGAAAAAUGCUAAUAAUGUGUUAUAAAUCACAAUAACAUUCUCCUUCUCCAUUGCAACUACUUUGAAGAUUUUGUGUUUUGUGAUCUUUGGUUCUUCAUCUUCUUCUUCUUGGUUUGGGAUUUUCACUUGUCUCUUCUACUUUGAAUUUAGAGAUCGAGAAUGGACAACAAUGGAGAACCAGCUGCUAAUAACAAUUCAAGUAAUUUGGUCAUCAUCUUAUGUUUGUUAUAUGCUGAUGAAUGAUGUCUAUGAAUGGAAAAUGGGGGUUUUCAAUGAAUGAAAAGGUUAGUAGUGAUUCUUUGGUGGUGCUGAUAGUUUGUAGUCUCUAUCUUUUCUGUAAAAGCCUAAUUAAAUUGGUUGUUUCUUAUGAGAUGUUUUCCUCAUUACUCGCCUAGUUUCGCAUAAUUUCUUAUCUUGUUGUGUGUAAUUGUUUCACUUUCUGUAACUUGGUAUUAUGAAGACUUUAUAACUUGAUUUAUGUAUACCACCAUUACUAAAUAAUGCUUCUUAAGUUUGUGUACGCUGGAACGUUAUAACAAGAUGAGUAGUGAGUUCAUAUGUUAGUCAGGUGUUAGGUUUUUGUUAAACUUUUCUAAUUGCAUAAUGGUUUUCUAAUUGUUUUACUUUCUAUUUGAAGUGUACCGGCUUCUAUUUGGACUGAAGAGAAAUGGCUUCAGAUGUUUAGUUGUUUGCAGACAUUUGCUCUUCGUGUUAUGCUCUUCUCAGAAAUUAUCUUCGUUUUCGGUCUAGUUGUGGCAGAACCACCACCCUUCACCCAGUUGCCCUGCAGGAAGUGAUAGAACUGAUGAAAUGCUUGCCAAAGGAUUAGUGUCAAUGCUCUUACUUACUCUUGCCGCCGUUAUGCUGAACAUGAAGCAACGCAUCAGAGGAUUGUCAGCAUUGCAGCUGGCAUGUUAGAGAUCGAAGCUCGACUGUGGGUACUUCCUUUGCACUAUUGUUGUCGUAGCAGGAGUCACACUAACAGGCCUUGCUAUGAUGGACGGCACUCAGAUCGUUUUUGGCUUGUGGAGAUGUGGUGCACCAUCUACCAUUGUUUUUAUGAUUCUGUAUGGCUUCUUUGUUAGAGAAAAUGAGUUUAUAAAAUAGUUUGGUUUUUGGUCUUGGUGGGAUUGGAACUUAGGAUCUAUUGGUCACUAAGGACACUAGCUCGUUUUCACUAUUUGUGAAUGAA